CCACCUCUCAAGCCAAUCGGCUUUGAUCAAGUGUAGUAUCUGUUCUUGCCAGUGUAAGAGCUGGCAGUAUCCACCAAGGAUACAUGUUUUGAAUUUUUGGAUGUGCCUAGGGGCGAUGGAGGACAGGCGCUUGCGUGUGGGCUCUUGAGUUUCUGAAGCAUUUGCCAUUGAUUGGAAGCAAUCAGU
rnacentral:snRNA from 1 species